ensembl:miRNA Gm44378 predicted gene, 44378
GAAAUAUGUGUGUGUGUGUGUGUAUACGUGUGUGUAUACGUACACACACACACACACACACACACACACACACACACACAUAU